CCCUCCCCUAAAUCACUCCAAAAAAAACAAUCCCCAAUUCUACACAAGUGUUUCUACACUAACAAAGCAACAGCUCCUUAACGAAUUCCCAACUUUACACGAGCUCGUCUCUCGAGGUUAAAUGUUAUUACUUGGUAAGAUUCCGGACCUCGCCAAGUGUUUUGAAAACCCGCAACGCUCGCAAAGGUGCAUAGUGAGAAUAAUAAGUGAAGAGACAGACUUGUCCAAAACGCCCACCACGAAGGUGCAUAGUGAGAAGAGUAAGUCAAGAGAUAGACUUGUCCAAAAAGAAACGGAAGAGAAAGCUUGGGGAGACGCUCACGAAGGUGCAUAGUGAGAAGAGUAAGUCAAGAGAUAGACUUGUUCAAAAAGAAACAGAAGAGAAUGCUUGGGGUUACACUCACGAAGGUGCAUAGUGAGAAGAGUAAGUCAAGAGAUAGACUUGUUCAAAAAGAAACAGAAGAGAAUGCUUGGGGUUACACUCACGAAGGUGCAUAGUGAGAAGAGUAAGUCAAGAGACAGACUUGUUCAAAAAGAAACAAAAGAGAAUGCUUGGGGAGAUAGAAGUGUGAGAUAGUUCUCAAGCUAAGAAAGUUGUAAAAGCUAAGAACUAGCAAGUAAUCGUCCAGGAUUCCUCCACCAGGACUUGAAAUCGUCGAGGGAAAAAAUCGGUUCCGAGGAAUCGUCGAUCCGGACUUGGAAUCGUCGAGAAAAGUUUACCGGGUCCGAGGAUUUGUCGAC
rnacentral:misc_RNA from 1 species